GCCUUAGCAAGAGGCCGGAAACAUAGUAGCACUCCAAACUCCAGUAACGUUGGAUAAUGAACUGACUGAAUAAGCAAAUUUACCAAGGUAGAUCCAAGAGCUCAUGCAGAAACAUACUGUCACAAGUUCUACAGCUUCGAGGAAAUGAAUUCUGCCAGCAACCUGAAGGAGAUUGGAAACCUCUGAUGAGAAUGCAGCCCACCAAUGUCAUGAUUGCAGCCUGUGAGACUCUGAGCAAAGGACCCAUCUAAGCCAUCUCCAGACUCCUGACCCACAGAAACUGUCAGAUAAUAAAUAUGUGUUGUUGUAAGCCA